GUCCAGCCAGAAGAGCUGGAGGAAGAUGGAAGGGACAGACAUGUCUGGAGGGGUUUGGUCUCUGUAGCGCCACCCAGACCUGAUCCAGACCAAGAGGGAGCCCAGAUGGAGGACUCUGAUGGUCUCACUCCCAGCAGUCCUCAGACAGACGCUGAUUGUUCUCUGUGUGUUCAGAUCCAACAGCUAUGAUCGUCAGAUGGGUGGUGGUGCCGCUGUCUCUGCUGCUGCUGCAGGGGGCGCUGUGGCUGUACUGUAAGGCCAGCAGGGGGCAGACCGGCAGACCGGGCGGACGCUGAGCGGAGUGCAGUGGAGGGAUGAAGUCGGUCCUCUGAACCUUCCUGCUGUGAAGACCAGAUGGUUUUUAUGAGCUUCUUACAGCAAUGAUGAAUCUCAUCACGUUCCCACAGACAGUGGAACAAGGUUCCUUUUCGUUUUGUGGACCAUGGUGAAAAAAAGAGCCUUGUUUUGCCGUAUACUGGACCACG